rnacentral:rRNA from 1 species
AAACCGCCUAGAGGUAAACGGGUGGAUCCGCAAAAGUCGGCCCGCGGAAUUCAGCUCGGAAGGCCAGCGCCCGCCGCUUGUUUGGGAGAUUCGCUUGUGGACUCCCCGGGCGGUUGCCUUGGACGCAGGUGAUCCGUGUGCACUUUCCGCGGGCAGAGCGUCACGACCGGUUCUCGGGCGGUCAGACGGCGGCUGGGAAGGUAGGCGGGCGUCUUCGCGGGCGCUCGCUGUUACAGCCCAGCCUGUCCCGAUCCGCUUGGCUAGAGGACCGAGGAGCUGCCGCCGGCGCGAGGCCGCUUCGCUCCCCUCCCGGGAGGUUUACGACUGGUGGAGACUGGGUUCCGCCCGUGUCCGCCGACCGCUUUCCGGGAUGGGGCGGGGUGAGGGAGCCCGCCGGCUGAGGGUCAGUGGCGAAUCGGUCGGCCCUCCACCCGACCCGUCUUGAA